rnacentral:snRNA from 1 species
CUGGUUUCUCUUCAGAUUGCAUAGAUCUUUCACCUUUUACUAAAGAUUUCCAUUGAGGGUUAACAUUAUUUCAAUAUAGAUUUUGUGUGUGAAUUCAAAGAUUUGCU